rnacentral:lncRNA from 1 species
GUGCUCCCCAGCCAGCUCUGGCAGGAAUCUGCCUCAGGAGACGGUGGCACCUCUAAUCUCCACUUUGGUGACUAAAUUUGGGCUGGAUAGAAGCUGACAAAUGAAGUCAGCUUGGCGGCAAUUGAUAUGUACCUUGUGCCGUCCUUGACCCAAUCCCAAGUGUCCUCAAAUCUCCCUUCCAGAGAAAUGCAGCGCAAUCUGACAACAAGCCCCUAAAGGAGCUGUGGUGCAUGGCGUGUUAUGCAAAUGAAGCACUUCUCCCCGGGGCAGCCCAUGCAGGGCCACAGCUGGUGCUGGGACUGCUCCUUGCCCUCUGGGGAAAGGACAAUGACUGCCCAAAGAUGUCCACAUGCUACUGCUGGAACCUGUGAUCACGUCACCUUCCAUGGCAGAAGGGGUGACUUUGAAGAUGGGAUUCAAUUAAGGAUCUUGAGCUGGGGCCCAGGCAGCCUC